rnacentral:pre_miRNA from 1 species
AUGCAAGUUACCUGGAGAUCUUACUAAAAUGCAAAUUUUGAUUCAGCUGUUCUUGAAUGGGUUUGAGAUUCUGCAUUUCUAACAAGCUCCCAGGUGAUACUGAU